rnacentral:rRNA from 1 species
UGCAUGUCUAAGUACAAGCCGCUUGACGGCGAAACCGCGAAUGGCUCAAUAAAUCAGUUAUGGUUCCUUAGAUCAACUCCAUCUUACUUGGAUAACUGUGGUAAUUCUAGAGCUAAUACAUGCACUCGAGCCUCGACUCGGAGGGGCGGCGCCCGUCAAACGGUGUCGUUCUCUUCGGAAGAGGUGCUUUUAUUAGAUCAAAACCAGUCGGGCCCCCGCCGUAACAGGCGGGAUCAACCCGUACCAAAUUUUGAUGACUCUGGAUAACUUCACGCCGAUCGUAUGGCCUUUAGAGCCGACGACUUAUCUUUCAAAUGUCUGCCUUAUCAACUGUCGAUGGUAUGUUACGCGCCUACCAUGGUUGCAACGGGUAACGGGGAAUCGGGGUUCGAUUCCGGAGAGGGAGCCUGAGAAACGGCUACCACAUCCAAGGAAGGCAGCAGGCGCGCAAAUUACCCACUCCCGGCACGGGGAGGUAGUGACGAAAAAUAACGAUACGGGACUCUUCCGAGGCCCCGUGAUUGGAAUGAGUACACUUUAAAUCCUUUAACGAGGAACCAUUGGAGGGCAAGUCUGGUGCCAGCAGCCGCGGUAACUCCAGCUCCAAUAGCGUAUAUUAAAGUUGUUGCGGUUAAAAAGCUCGUAGUCGGAUGUCUGUCUUCGGCCGGGCGGCGCCGCUCUGAAUCAAGGGUGUUGCGUUUAACGCUCUGGGAGGCGGGUGUCAAAGCCCGCUUCUCUUCACGGUCGGACAACAUCGCCGGAGUGGUGGGCUAGGGCCGCGGGGUCGCCGGUGUUCGCGUCGGGGUCAAACCCUUCGCGAGUUCUCGGUUCCCGUGGUACUCCCACCCGCAUUCAAUCGUUCGGGGUGCCCUUCACCGGGUGUCUCGGGCGGCCGGCAACGUUUACUUUGAACAAAUUAGAGUGCUCAAAGCAGGUGUAUCCCAACGCCUGAAUAUCGCAGCAUGGAAUGAUGGAAUAGGACCUCGGUCCGAUUUUGCUGGUCUUUUACUUUUGGACCCGAGGUAAUGGUCAAUAGAGACGGACGGGGGCAUUCGUACUGCGGCGACAGAGGUGAAAUUCUUGGACCGCCGCAAGACGAACAACAGCGAAGGCAUUUGCCAAGAAUGUUUUCCUUGAUCAAGAACGAAAGUUAGAGGUUCGAAGGCGAUCAGAUACCGCCCUAGUUCUAACCAUAAACGAUGCCAACUAGCAAUCCGUCGGAGUUACUCCAAUGACUCGACGGGCAGCUUCCGGGAAACCAAAGUUUUUGGGUUCCGGGGGAAGUAUGGUUGCAAAGCUGAAACUUAAAGGAAUUGACGGAAGGGCACCACCAGGAGUGGAGCCUGCGGCUUAAUUUGACUCAACACGGGAAACCUCACCAGGCCCGGACACUGGAAGGAUUGACAGAUUGAGAGCUCUUUCUUGAUUCGGUGGGUGGUGGUGCAUGGCCGUUCUUAGUUGGUGGAGCGAUUUGUCUGGUUAAUUCCGAUAACGAACGAGACUCUAGCCUGCUAAAUAGGUGACGGAUUUUAUCAAUUGAAAAAAAAACCGAAGGGGGUACGGAGGCGCUGGGAUCAGGUGGCGGCGAUUCUGGGGCUUUCGGGCCGGCCGCGGUUGUCGUUUUGCGGUGCGUGGGGCGUUGCGUGCGCGUGGCGGGGGCUCGUCUCUCGUCGCGUUGUCCGUGGCGUUUCGCGUCUCGUGGGCGGCUGUCGUCGUUGAACUCGGCUGUUUCGGGUCGUCGUCAUCCCCGGUGUUUCUCCUGCUCUCGCGUCCGUCACACGUCUUCUUAGAGGGACAAGCGGCGUCCAGCCGCGUGACAGUGAGCAAUAACAGGUCUGUGAUGCCCUUAGAUGUCCUGGGCCGCACGCGCGCUACACUGAAGGAAUCAGCGUGUUUCACUCUCCCUGUCCGAAAGGACCGGGUAACCGCUGAACCUCCUUCGUGGUUGGGAUUGGGGACUGCAAUGAUCCCCAUGAACCAGGAAUCCCUAGUAGGCGCGGGUCACUAGCCCGCGUCGAUUACGUCCCUGCCCUUUGUACACACCGCCCGUCGCUACUACCGAUUGAAUGAUUUAGUGAGGACUUCGGACGGGCUUGUCGGGGAUUUCGGCCGUCGUUUCGGGGAGCAAUCUUCGGGGCGUGCGCGUCGGUCCUACCAACGACGAGACUGAAAGAUGUUCGAACU